GAUGAACGCUGGCGGCGUGCUUAACACAUGCAAGUCGAGCGAGAGAGUUCUUCGGAACAAUCUAGCGGCGGACGGGUGAGUAACACGUGGGCAACCUGCCUCAUAGAGGGGAAUAGCCUUCCGAAAGGAAGAUUAAUACCGAAUAACAUCGUUGAAGGGCAUCCUUCGAUGAUUCAAGGAGCACUCCGCUAUGAGAUGGGCCCGCGGCGCGUUGGUUAGUUGGUGAGGUAGCGGCUCACCAAGGCGACGAUGCGUAGCCGACCUGAGAGGGUGAUCGGCCACAUUGGGACUGAGACACGGCCCAGACUCCUACGUGAGGCAGCAGUGGGGAAUAUUGCACAAUGGGGGAAACCCUGAUGCAGCAACGCCGCGUGAGUGAUGACGGCCUUCGGGUUGUAAAGCUCUGUCUUUGGGGACGAUAAUGACGGUACCCAAGGAGGAAGUCACGGCUAACUACGUGCCAGCCGCCGCGGUAA
rnacentral:rRNA from 1 species